AUUGAACGCUGGCGGCAGGCCUAACACAUGCAAGUCGAACGGUAACAGGAAGAAGCUUGCUUCUUUGCUGACGAGUGGCGGACGGGUGAGUAAUGUCUGGGAAACUCCCUGAUGGAGGGGGAUAACUACUGGAAACGGUAGCUAAUACCGCAUAACGUCGCAAGACCAAAGAGGGGGACCUUCUGGCCUCUUGCCAUCGGAUAUGCCCAGAUGGGAUUAGCUAGUAGGUGGGGUAACGGCUCACCUAGGCGACGAUCCCUAGCUGGUCUGAGAGGAUGAUCAGCCACACUGGAACUGAGACACGGUCCAGACUCCUACGGGAGGCAGCAGUGGGGAAUAUUGCACAAUGGGCGCAAGCCUGAUGCAGCCAUGCCGCGUGUAUGAAGAAGGCCUUCGGGUUGUAAAGUACUUUUAGCGGGGAGGAAGGGAGUAAAGUUAAUACCUUGGCUCAUUGACGUUACCCGCAGAAGAAGCACCGGCUAACUCCGUG
rnacentral:rRNA from 1 species